rnacentral:tmRNA from 1 species
GGGGGCGACAUGGUUUCGACGUGGGUCGCAAAACCUGAGGUGCAUGCCGAGGUGCGGGUGACCUCGUAAAUCCAACCGCAAAACUAUAGUUGCCAACGACGACAACUACGCUCUCGCGGCUUAGGCCAGCGAGCCUCUGACCGUUCCCUGCCUAUGGGGGGCGGAUUCCAGGGGUAACAUAACAUGGGAUCGCGGUGACGGGGGCUCGGACCUGAUCCGCUAAAACCUAAUUCGAGAUCGCCGACUGAUCGCCCUGCCCUUCGGGCGGCGGAAGGCUAAAAAUAAUAGAACGGGCUAAGCAUGUAGAGCCAAUGGCAGAGGGCUUGCGGACGCGGGUUCGAUUCCCGCCGCCUCCACCA